rnacentral:rRNA from 1 species
GAGUUUGAUCGUGGCUCAGGACGAACGCUGGCGGCGUGCUUAACACAUGCAAGUCGAACGAGAAUCUACUGAAAGAGUUUUCGGACAAUGGAAGUAGAGGAAAGUGGCGGACGGGUGAGUAACGCGUGAGGAACCUGCCUUGAAGAGGGGACAACAGUUGGAAACGACUGCUAAUACCGCAUGAUGCAUAAGGGUCUCAUGAUUCUUAUGCCAAAGAUUUAUCGCUUCAAGAUGGCCUCGCGUCUGAUUAGCUAGUUGGCGGGUAACGGCCCACCAAGGCGACGAUCAGUAGCCGGACUGAGAGGUUGAACGGCCACAUUGGGACUGAGAUACGGCCCAGACUCCUACGGGAGGCAGCAGUGGGGAAUAUUGGGCAAUGGGCGCAAGCCUGACCCAGCAACGCCGCGUGAAGGAGAAGGCUUUCGGUAUGUAAACUUCUAUCAGCAGGGAAGAAAUGACGGUACCUGACUAAGAAGCCCGGCUAACUACGUGCCAGCCGCCGCCGU